GACGAACGCUGGCGGCGUGCUUAAUACAUGCAAGUCGAGCGAGGUUACUGUUUCGGAUCCCUUCGGGGUGAAGAAGCUUUAACCUAGCGGCGGACGGGUGAGUAACGCGUGGGUAACCUACCCCAAAGUCCGGGAUAACAGCGGGAAACCGCUGCUAAUACCGGAUGUCUUUACCUUGGGGCAUCUUGAGGUAAAGAAAGGUAACGCUUUGGGAUGGGCCCGCGUCCCAUUAGCUAGUUGGUGAGGUAACGGCUCACCAAGGCGACGAUGGGUAGCCGGCCUGAGAGGGUGGACGGCCACACUGGGACUGAGACACGGCCCAGACUCCUACGGGAGGCAGCAGUAGGGAAUAUUGCGCAAUGGACGGAAGUCUGACGCAGCGACGCCGCGUGAGCGAUGAAGGCCUUCGGAUCGUAAAGCUCUGUCCUUGGGGAAGAAGGCGAAAGCUUGACGGUACCCAAGAAGAAAGCCCCGGCUAACUACGUGCCAGCAGCCGCGGUAAUACGUAGGGGGCGAGCGUUGUCCGGAAUUACUGGGCGUAAAGGGUGCGUAGGCGGCCCUUUAAGUCGGAUGUGAAAGCCCGCGGCUUAACCGCGGAAUGGCAUUCGAAACUGGAGGGCUUGAGUGUCGGAGAGGGUAGUGGAAUUCCCAGUGUAGCGGUGAAAUGCGUAGAUUUUGGGAGGAACACCAGUGGCGAAGGCGACUACCUGGACGAUAACUGACGCUGAGGCACGAAAGCUAGGGGAGCAAACAGG
rnacentral:rRNA from 1 species